rnacentral:piRNA from 1 species
UUGGUUGAUAUCCAGAGGAGGCCUGC